ACUUUCAAACUAUGAUCUGAAGUCAGGUGGGAGUACCCGC
rnacentral:rRNA from 1 species